CUCCGAACUGCCACAGGAACUGUUGCUGGAAGUGGAUCCUAUGCGCCCUGGAACAUUCACAUUGACAAGUUAAAAGGAAAAGUCCUGCAACCUCAAGUCAAGGCAGACAUAAGCCAGGACACUGUAGUGGCAGCAGAAUGAAGUGGCCCUUCCCGGCAGUGCAGCAUGACUCAGAAAGCAUCCCAAGAAGGCAGACGUCUGCACUAUUUUCAGUCUAACCCUCAACUUGGUUUGAGCGCACCUUUAAUAGGAAAAGGAAAAUGUCUUCCCCGGAUCUGAAUUUAAUGACAUACGCCGACAGCUGCAGGCAGCAGUUUGGGUUUCCAUGUCCAGCUAUCCACCAAGCUUAGCAAUCUGGGAAAUCCAACAACCAGACUGGGGCACGCGUACAUGUGUGAGCUCACAUUGCAUGGCGCUCUGCCAUGUAGCCAGCAUGUCCUUAGUGCAUGCCCAUGCCAGUGUACUCUGAUUAGGAUGGCACCACAGAGUGCCAACGUUAAGCCCUGCGUAGGCUUCAGCCCUUUAAGCAGAGACUUUAGACUUACUAGACUAUACUACGCACGUUGUCUACUUAUUAGAGUGAUGAAAUGAGCCCUCACAUAUGGGGCCUUAAGCUUUAAGGGUUUAAAAUGCUAGAACAACCUUGUUAGUCAGUUCAAAUGAGGUCUUCACAGAUUUGAACUUGUUCAGUAAAGAACCAUCAAACUAUGAUGGCAAAAACGCUGAGAACCACUGGUCUACACCAUCUUCUCAUCACAAUGUGAGGAACAGGGUCUUAUUCAAGAACAGAGAGGAAGAACUAUUUAAAAAAAAACAUGUCAGGAACCAUAAGAUACUAUAAUAGUGUGUGCUCUUAAGGUAUCAUGGUUACUUUUCCCCCCCAUGUUUUCCACGUCUUACCAACACCAAAACUUUCAAGAUCAAUAAAUCAUGUUUGCUCCUA